GUGGGGAAUUUUGGACAAUGGGCGCAAGCCUGAUCCAGCCAUGCCGCGUGCAGGAUGAAGGCCUUCGGGUUGUAAACUGCUUUUGUACGGAACGAAAAAGCUCUCUCUAAUACAGGGGGUGAAUGACGGUACCGUAAGAAUAAGCACCGGCUAACUACGUGCCAGCAGCCGCGGUAAUACGUAGGGUGCAAGCGUUAAUCGGAAUUACUGGGCGUAAAGCGUGCGCAGGCGGUUAUGUAAGACAGAGGUGAAAUCCCCGGGCUCAACCUGGGAACUGCCUUUGUGACUGCAUAGCUGGAGUGCGGCAGAGGGGGAUGGAAUUCCGCGUGUAGCAGUGAAAUGCGUAGAUAUGCGGAGGAACACCGAUGGCGAAGGCAAUCCCCUGGGCCUGCACUGACGCUCAUGCACGAAAGCGUGGGGAGCAAACAGGAUUAGAAACCCUAGUAGUCC
rnacentral:rRNA from 1 species